AAUAAGCGGAGGAAAAGAAACCAACAGGGAUUGCCUCAGUAACGGCGAGUGAAGCGGCAACAGCUCAAAUUUGAAAUCUGGCCUUUGGCCCGAGUUGUAAUUUGUAGAGGAUGCUUUUGGUGCGGUGCCUUCCGAGUUCCCUGGAACGGGACGCCUUAGAGGGUGAGAGCCCCGUACGGUUGGACGCCUAGCCUCUGUAAAGCUCCUUCGACGAGUCGAGUAGUUUGGGAAUGCUGCUCAAAAUGGGAGGUAAAUUUCUUCUAAAGCUAAAUACCGGCCAGAGACCGAUAGCGCACAAGUAGAGUGAUCGAAAGAUGAAAAGCACUUUGAAAAGAGGGUUAAAUAGCACGUGAAAUUGUUGAAAGGGAAGCGUUUAUGACCAGACUUUUUCCUGGCGGAUCAUCCGGUGUUCUCACCGGUGCACUUCGCCAGGUUGAGGCCAGCAUCGGUUUUCGUAGGGGGAUAAAAGCUUUGGGAAUGUGGCUCUUCGGAGUGUUAUAGCCCAUUGCAUAAUACCUUUAUGGGGACCGAGGUUCGCGCUCUGCAAGGAUGCUGGCGUAAUGGUCAUCAACGACCCGUCUUGAAACACGGACCAAGGAGUCGAACAUUUGUGCGAGUGUUUGGGUGUUAAACCCUCACGCGUAAUGAAAGUGAACGGAGGUGAGAGCCUUUAGGUGCAUCAUCGACCGAUCCUGAUGUCUUCGGAUGGAUUUGAGUAAGAGCAUAACUGUUCGGACCCGAAAGAUGGUGAACUAUGCGUGGAUAGGGUGAAGCCAGAGGAAACUCUGGUGGAGGCUCGCAGCGGUUCUGACGUGCAAAUCGAUCGUCAAAUCUGCGCAUGGGGGCGAAAGACUAAUCGAACC
rnacentral:rRNA from 1 species